rnacentral:rRNA from 1 species
UACGUAGGGAGCAAGCGUUAUCCGGAUUUAUUGGGUGUAAAGGGUGCGUAGACGGGAAUACAAGUUGGUUGUGAAAUCCCUCAGCUCAACUGAGGAACUGCAACCAAAACUAUAUUUCUUGAGUGCUGGAGAGGAAAGUGGAAUUCCUAGUGUAGCGGUGAAAUGCGUAGAUAUUAGGAGGAACACCAGUGGCGAAGGCGACUUUCUGGACAGUAACUGACGUUGAGGCACGAAAGUGUGGGGAGCAAACA